UACGUAGGGGGCUAGCGUUGUCCGGAUUUAUUGGGCGUAAAUAGCGUGUAGGCGGCCAGGUAGGUCUGCUGUGAAAACUCGAGGCUCAACCUCGAGACGUCGGCGGAAACCAUCUGGCUAGAGUCCGGAAGAGGAGAGUGGAAUUCCUGGUGUAGCGGUGAAAUGCGCAGAUAUCAGGAAGAACACCCGUGGCGAAGGCGGCUCUCUGGGACGGUACUGACGCUGAGACGCGAAAGCGUGGGGAGCGAACAGG
rnacentral:rRNA from 1 species